AUUGAACGCUUGCGGCAUGCCUUACACAUGCAAGUCGAACGGCAGCAUGAUCUAGCUUGCUAGAUUGAUGGCGAGUGGCGAACGGGUGAGUAAUACAUCGGAACGUGCCCUGUAGUGGGGGAUAACUAGUCGAAAGAUUAGCUAAUACCGCAUACGACCUGAGGGUGAAAGUGGGGGACCGCAAGGCCUCAUGCUAUAGGAGCGGCCGAUGUCUGAUUAGCUAGUUGGUGAGGUAAAGGCUCACCAAGGCGACGAUCAGUAGCUGGUCUGAGAGGACGAUCAGCCACACUGGGACUGAGACACGGCCCAGACUCCUACGGGAGGCAGCAGUGGGGAAUUUUGGACAAUGGGGGCAACCCUGAUCCAGCAAUGCCGCGUGUGUGAAGAAGGCCUUCGGGUUGUAAAGCACUUUUGUCCGGAAAGAAAUCGCACUUACUAAUAUUAGGUGUGGAUGACGGUACCGGAAGAAUAAGGACCGGCUAACUACGUGCCAGCAGCCGCGGUAAUACGUAGGGUCCAAGCGUUAAUCGGAAUUACUGGGCGUAAGCGUGCGCAGGCGGUUGUGCAAGACCGAUGUGAAAUCCCCGGGCUUAACCUGGGAAUUGCAUUGGUGACUGCACGGCUAGAGUGUGUCAGAGGGGGGUAGAAUUCCACGUGUAGCAGUGAAAUGCGUAGAGAUGUGGAGGAAUACCGAUGGCGAAGGCAGCCCCCUGGGAUAACACUGACGCUCAUGCACGAAAGCGUGGGGAGCAAACAGGAUUAGAUACCCUGGUAGUCCACGCCCUAAACGAUGUCAACUAGUUGUUGGGGAUUCAUUUCCUUAGUAACGUAGCUAACGCGUGAAGUUGACCGCCUGGGGAGUACGGUCGCAAGAUUAAAACUCAAAGGAAUUGACGGGGACCCGCACAAGCGGUGGAUGAUGUGGAUUAAUUCGAUGCAACGCGAAAAACCUUACCUACCCUUGACAUGCCACUAACGAAGCAGAGAUGCAUUAGGUGCUCGAAAGAGAAAGUGGACACAGGUGCUGCAUGGCUGUCGUCAGCUCGUGUCGUGAGAUGUUGGGUUAAGUCCCGCAACGAGCGCAGCCCUUGUCUCUAGUUGCUACGAAAGGGCACUCUAGAGAGACUGCCGGUGACAAACCGGAGGAAGGUGGGGAUGACGUCAAGUCCUCAUGGCCCUUAUGGGUAGGGCUUCACACGUCAUACAAUGGUGCAUACAGAGGGUUGCCAAGCCGCGAGGUGGAGCUAAUCCCAGAAAAUGCAUCGUAGUCCGGAUCGUAGUCUGCAACUCGACUACGUGAAGCUGGAAUCGCUAGUAAUCGCGGAUCCGCAUGCCGCGGUGAAUACGUUCCCGGGUCU
rnacentral:rRNA from 1 species